AUCCUUUUGCAGUGGCAGUAUUGUAGCCUGUGAGGUUUAUCUGAGGCGCGAUUAUUGCUAGUUGAAAACUUUACCCAAUACCUGCCUUGAUGACUUGAAAUAUAGUCAGCAAUGGCAAUUUUUGUUAGUCUCUAAGGAGA
rnacentral:snRNA from 1 species